GACGAACGCUGGCGGCGUGCUUAACACAUGCAAGUCGAACGGAAAGGCCCUGCUUUUGUGGGGUGCUCGAGUGGCGAACGGGUGAGUAACACGUGAGUAACCUGCCCUUGACUUUGGGAUAACUUCGGGAAACUGGGGCUAAUACCGGAUAGGAGCUCCUGCUGCAUGGUGGGGGUUGGAAAGCUUCGGCGGUUGGGGAUGGACUCGCGGCUUAUCAGCUUGUUGGUGGGGUAGUGGCUUACCAAGGCUUUGACGGGUAGCCGGCCUGAGAGGGUGACCGGCCACAUUGGGACUGAGAUACGGCCCAGACUCCUACGGGAGGCAGCAGUGGGGAAUAUUGCACAAUGGGCGGAAGCCUGAUGCAGCAACGCCGCGUGCGGGAUGACGGCCUUCGGGUUGUAAACCGCUUUCGCCUGUGACGAAGCGUGAGUGACGGUAAUGGGUAAAGAAGCACCGGCUAACUACGUG
rnacentral:rRNA from 1 species